UACAGAGGGUGCAAGCGUUAAUCGGAAUUACUGGGCGUAAAGCGUGCGUAGACGGUAGCGUAAGUCGGGUGUGAAAGCCCCGGGCUCAACCUGGGAAUUGCAUUCGAGACUGCUCUGCUAGGGUGCGGAAGAGGGAAGCGGGAAUUUCCGGGUGUAGCGGUGAAAUGACGUAGAUAUCGGAAGGAACACCAGUGGCGAAAGCGGCUUCCUGGUCCAGCACCGACGUCAGGCACGAAAGCGUGGGGAGCAAACAGG
rnacentral:rRNA from 1 species